rnacentral:lncRNA from 1 species
GGAAAACAGACUUGGAAAAUAUGAGUUGAUGGACCCUGACAGCCAGUUUCUGAGGUUUGUCCUUCCAGCCAGCCAGUCAUGGGAGAUCGUUACACUUUGACCUCAAAAUCUUUGCCUGCCUCCCAAGUUCUCCCACAGCACUAUACAUUCACAUCUGUUUAGAGCCCGCUGCUUGCUGGACAUACUUUAGUCUCAGCUUUGGAGGAAGAUGGCUAGCUCUUGGAAAUCUUUUAGAUCUCUUAGAAACACUUUUGUAUACUAUUCAUUUAUUUUGUGUGUGUCUAGUGCACAGGAAAAAGCUCAGUGUAAUAAAAUUAACAACUGCAGCUGUAGAAUGAGUAAUACCGCAACCCAAGCCUAAGACUGGCAAGAUAAAAAAUAAAUUUGGAGAAGCUGAAUGUUUUCUCUAAGGACACACAGCAAGUUAGUGGGAGGCUGCUUCCUGCAACUGAAGGUCAUUCCUCUUUGUUAGAAGACUAAGGGUCCCUGACCUGAUCUGUGGAGCACCAGGGUGGAGAGAGUGGAAUAAGCAGCAAAACGAAAAAUUGGAUGCUGUUUUCAAAAGUUUUGUUCUCAUUCUUGGAUUAUAGAUUAUCUAAAGGGAAAAUUUAACUCAACCAAAAAAUUCGUUCAGCUCCAUGAAGCUAAAGAUGCUAUAAACUGACUCUUUCCUAAAGAGCACCAAACCUGAAAUUUUUCCUGCUAGAGAGGAACUAAUCUUCAAGGACACCUGUCUAUUGCUAGACAUUAAGAAGGAAGGUGAACUCCGUUCUGUCUUCAUAAAACACAUUUUUGUCUUUCCCCCUCACUCCUCCACUGAACCCACUAUGUUUACAAGUACAAGCUAUGACUGUGGAGGUGGAAAAUCUGAUACUGUCAGCACAAGUGGAACAAAAUGAAAAGAGAAAAAAAUCUACACACCCAUCUGGACUUCCAUAUGCUCUGUAGCCCAGAGGCUAAUAUAAUUCCUUGAAUGUUGGUUAUAAAGCAAUGUGAUAUGGAUGACUGCUAUGCACUGAGCUUAUUUAGACAAGUGUUCUUUCUACUCAAUAAACCUUUGAAAGGAUUAAAGUACAAUCACUC